rnacentral:rRNA from 1 species
GAUGAACGCUGGCGGCGUGCCUAAUACAUGCAAGUCGAGCGAACAGACGAGGAGCUUGCUCCUUUGACGUUAGCGGCGGACGGGUGAGUAACACGUGGGUAACCUACCUAUAAGACUGGGAUAACUUCGGGAAACCGGAGCUAAUACCGGAUAAUAUUUCGAACCGCAUGGUUCGAUAGUGAAAGAUGGCUCUGCUAUCACUUAUAGAUGGACCUGCGCCGUAUUAGCUAGUUGGUAAGGUAACGGCUUACCAAGGCAACGAUACGUAGCCGACCUGAGAGGAUGAUCGGCCACACUGGAACUGAGACACGGUCCAGACUCCUACGGGAGGCAGCAGUAGGGAAUCUUCCGCAAUGGGCGAAAGCCUGACGGAGCAACGCCGCGUGAGUGAUGAAGGUCUUCGGAUCGUAAAACUCUGUUAUUAGGGAAGAACAAACGUGUAAGUAACUGUGCACGUCUUGACGGUACCUAAUCAGAAAGCCACGGCUAACUACGUG